UACGGAGGAUGCAAGCGUUAUCCGGAAUGAUUGGGCGUAAAGCGUCCGCAGGUGGCCGUUCAAGUCUGCUGUCAAAGACCGGGGCUUAACUUCGGAACGGCAGUGGAAACUGAACAGCUAGAGUAUGGUAGGGGCAGAGGGAAUUCCUGGUGUAGCGGUGAAAUGCGUAGAGAUCAGGAAGAACAUCGGUGGCGAAGGCGCUCUGCUGGACCAUAACUGACACUCAGGGACGAAAGCUAGGGGAGCGAAUGGG
rnacentral:rRNA from 1 species